CUCAAAUUUGGCAUUCAUAAUCAAUUGUUCGACAAUCAACAGAGGGUACUUUAGCAGGCUCCAACAAAGUUUGCGUAGGCAUGGCGGCAAGGCCGCUCGAUCCAAAUAUUCAAUAGCAAACUUCAGCAACGUCAUACAACGCAAUUUAUCCUUGUUUAAAUUGAGAAAACUCUUGCAUUCAUCUGGCGGAAAGAAUGUUUCCAAUAUUUUCAAUACUGCCACUCUUUAUAAUCUGGAUGCAUAUUUCUUGGGCCGAAAGGAAAUGGGAAGAGCCUCAUGUAGUUCACUAUUAUUAUCAUGAAAUGUUCCCACUUAUUGUAAAUUCCACAACAUAAAGAAUUUAUCUUAUUUCUUAGUUAAGUAUUAA